CGGGGAGGGGAACUGGCUGCGUGGAGGAGGACGGGGAGCGCACGUUGCAGUGAAGUUGGGAGAAGCUCUGCUUCCUUCAUCCUUUUUCUUACGUGGGUGCUUGCCAUAGGAUUCCUGGCUCUUGGAAUAAAUAGAGGGUCAUUUUGGUACUGCUGUGAGCUCUGCUCUGUGUGUCCUGUGCUGUCAGGAGCAACUCGGAGUGCUGGGGCACCUCUGGCCCUCGAGCCCCAGAAUAGCGCUGGAGCGCUCGCAGCCCACGCUGCCGUUCCCUGAAGGAGCCCUUGGAUGUGAGCGAGCCUUCGACCCCUUGCAAACCAGUUUUAUUCCGUGGGAGCUUCCCUGAGGAGCUGCUUCAACUCAACUCAUGCCCAGUGUCUCAGAUCUGGGCACAGCAAAGAAGACAGCAGCGCACUUCUGUGUCAGAACCGGGGUUUCUGAAAGGCAGAGAGCAAACGGCAGCCCUGCCCUGCAAGAAGCAACCUAAAAGCAGAAGGCAGGUGGCUUUUCUGCCACCAUGCUCUCACAAAUUUCCUUCUCGGGCCUUUGGGGAUGGACGGGAGCCGCUCCCCGAGCCCCCCCGGGGGGUGGGCGCUGGCCCCGCGCUGCCCCCGCAGAUAACGGGGAAGGACGGGGGCAGAUAGGCACAGAUGUGCUGCUGGGAGGCCUGGCUCCAGGGUGGGGCUUCUUUUAUUUCAUUUUUUAAGUUUUUUUCCUUUUUUUUUUUUUUUUUGGCGGGAGCUGUGUGUGUGUGUGAAGCAGAUGUUUGAGACAGCUCAGUGUGUCUGCCCCCGAGCUGAUCUCGCUGGAGGACCCUGAUACUUAAAUACUGUUAGAGCAGGAAGAUAGGCACAUUUCCCUUUAAAGCUGAUUUCCUGCCAUCUAAAUUUCAAUUUAUUUUUUUGGUUUCUUUCGCCUUUCAGUGGAAUAGAUGUGUGUGGGACCUGGAGCAUCUGACUCGUUCCUUGGUUUCUUCUAACCAGCCUAAAAUUCUGCUGGGAGACUUUUGUGUAGCCAUUCCCUAUCAUAAUUCUUCUAGGAAAAUUGUGGAGUCUUGGAAAACGUAUUUCCUGUCUAACUCCGAUCCUCCUACUCUCAAUGAAUCACUUGUGCUCUCGUGUUGCUUUGGGCUGACUUCCCUAUUGACUUCAGAGCUUGGGAUUUAAUUAGAAAUCUAGGGAUGUUAUUCGGAGCUGUAAAACUGCACAGGAUUCUUCUCCGUGCAGCAGCAUUACGCUAAUAACAA